rnacentral:rRNA from 1 species
GACGAACGCUGGCGGCGUGCCUAAUACAUGCGAGUAGAACGCUGAAGGAGGAGCUUGCUUCUCUGGAUGAGUUGCGAACGGGUGAGUAACACGUAGGUAACCUGCCUGGUAGCGGGGGAUAACUAUUGGAAACGAUAGCUAAUACCGCAUAAGAGUAGAUGUUGCAUGACAUUUGCUUAAAAGGUGCAAUUGCAUCACUACCAGAUGGACCUGCGUUGUAUUAGCUAGUUGGUGGGGUAACGGCUCACCAAGGCGACGAUACAUAGCCGACCUGAGAGGGGGGUCGGCCACACUGGGACUGAGACACGGCCCAGACUCCUACGGGAGGCAGCAGUAGGGAAUCUUCGGCAAUGGACGGAAGUCUGACCGAGCAACGCCGCGGGAGUGAAGAAGGUUUUCGGAUCGUAAAGCUCUGUUGUAAGAGAAGAACGAGUGUGAGAGUGGAAAGUUCACACUGUGACGGCAUCUUAACAGAAAGGGACGGCUAACUACGUG